rnacentral:misc_RNA from 1 species
GAAUUGCGUUAAGAAUCACGAAUUACAGAUAUUAUGAGUGACAUGUUUUCGAUUGCAUAUUGCACAAAUGGUUUUUUGAUCAUUUGUAUAUUCCACUCAGGGUGUUUUUCAUAAAAGCACAAUUCAAAUCAACUAGGCAGUGAUACAAUGCUUAGUUAGUAGAGAGAAGUAAAAAGUGUUUAAUGCAAAACACACUUGCUUCCUUGUUGCAGCGUUUGCUGAUGAAAAAGCCAGCCAGUUCAAUAAAGCACUCAAUUUUUGUGCACUUCAAUGACUUAGAUGAUUUUUUAAGCAUUGUUUUGUGUAUGAGAGUUGAGUGCGGCUUUCAGCUACUAUAACGCUAACCUUUUUUGGUUUUUUGCACCUGAGUAGAGUAUGAUUACCUGCCGAACUUAAGC